AAUGGGUUUUUGUAGAAUCCUACGGAAAAUUGCAAUCCUCACACUUAAAAAAUCAAAUAUAAACGAAAAAAAUAAGAAAGGCUGAGGCAAAUUACAGAGGCAGUGAAGAAUUUUUGUGAUAUCAAAAUUCUCUCAAAUCCCAAGAUAGUUUGCUCAGGAAAUCAGUUCACGCAUCAGCAAACAUGAGAUUCAGGAAAGGAAGCAAAGUGGAAGUGCUAAGCAAGAAGGAGGUGCCUUCAGGCUCGUGGCGUUCGGCUGAGAUUAUGUCUGGCAGUGGUCACUAUUAUACUGUUAGAUAUGAUAAAUUCGAGGGUGGGAGUAAUCAAACUGUUGUCGAGAGGGUAUCGCGUAAGGCUAUCAGGCCUUGUCCCCCUUCUCUGGAAGUUUUAGAGAAUUGGAUCCCUGGCGAUGUUGUGGAGGUAUUCAAUGAUCGUUCUUGGAAAAUGGCUACGGUUUCUGAGGUUUUGGGGAAGAACAACUAUUUGGUUAGGUUGCUUGGUUCUUCUAGUGAAUUCAAGGUCUGCAAAUUCGACAUUCGGGCAAGAAGAUCAUGGCAAGAUGACAAAUGGGUUUUGAUGCACAAGAGGUCUGGCAAUCGUGGCGAUGAUAGCAAAGAAGAUGCGAAUGCAAGUCCUAGAUUUUAUGGUCUGAGCUCCCAAAUUCAGAAAUUCCAAAAUGUUCCCAACUUAGACACUUGGAGAAGGGGAUCAAACUAUGAGUGUUCUCAAGCUGAAACAAUGGGUAGAGCUGGCUUGAAAUGUAGAACGUUGAAGAAGAAGCAAAGGUAUCAUAAAGUUGUUGCUCGAAAUCCAUCCACGUUGCACGAGCAUGUAAAAUCACUAGUUAUCCAAAGAGGUAUGCUGGGGGGAAACAUUGGAGGUGCUUUGGAUAGAACCAUCAUUUCUGAAAUGAAUUGUGAUAGGAAGAAACAAAUGGGCGUAGCUUACCAUUCUUUUGCAGAAAACUUUGAACUAAAUGAUGCUGAUAGAGCUACAUGCUCUGUUGGCAGUUGCAGUGUCUCUAACAGCGAUCACCAUGGGUUACGUUGUCGAGUUUCUAUUGGCCACAAUGAAGACACAGAUGGUUCUACGAGUGAUGCCGAAUCUUUUUGUCAUUUGGGAUACAGAACUGACAAUUUUCUUCUGUCCAGAGAUGAGCCAUUGGAAGCUGAAAUCCAUAGAGUCUAUCCUGCGAUAGCUUUAUCAUCAUCAUUGUACCACUUGGAACUCUGCGAUAUUUCACUUGGGAACAUAAUCGAUGCAUUUGUUCCAGUGUUCGCCACAGUUCUAAUUGUGUAAAUAAGAUUCUCCAUUCUCUUUGUAUAUACAACAUGAAAGUUUUAUUUACAUUUCUUGUGAAGAUGCAUUGAUUUCAGUUUAUAUGGGUUAUUGCAUCAAUGCAAUCGAGGACAUGCUUGAGCCCGACAUCCUUCUGCCUGUGGAGGAUUAGACUCUUCUUCACGUCGGGGGCUGAUCGGUCUCGUUUCUCAAUGGUUGAAGUUUGAAAGGUUGUACUUGAAACCUUAACACUUUUAUAUAAAUGCACCUUUUUGCUAUCAACAUGAUUUUGUUACAUUUGUUAAUUGUUGACACGAAACAAGGCAAUGAACUACUUUUACUAGUUUCAUCUAUUAUACGUAAAUCCGUUGAUUCUUGCUGCAUGUCUUGUCUCCAGGAGAUCCUCAUGAAAAAAUCUUCAAAAAAGAAAAAAAGAGAUAGAAAGAGAGAGAGAAGCAGCCUAGAACAUUGUUUCUAGGAUCUGCAGAUAACAUUGUUUCAAGGAUCUGAAUAUAACAUUGUUUCACUGACCAUCAUGACAUUACGCACUGUCAAUAGUUAAGAUAAGAGCCUCAUGUACAGUAUUAUAAGUCGAUGCAUUUGAUUUUGUCUCUAAACGGACCGAGCUACCUGAUAGAUAAGGUAAGCUUGUGAAAUGCUUGUCUUUUAUCUUUUAACAACCCUGGUGGUUAGGUAUUGAACGUCAUGUUUUUCACUGGAUUAUACCUCUACAUCAGUUUAUAUAUAUACAUAAUGAUGCAGACAAACAUCUGCUAAAGGAGAAAGAAGCUGACAAUUUUUUGGAUUCAAUUUGACGAGAGAACCCGACAUAGAAUACAUGAUCCAGGUAACAUAAAAGCAAUGGUUUCUGUUUAUUCCUCCUUAUGCAUUGCAUGUAUAUGUUUUUGCCCUUAGAGUAAAAGGAAGGUUACUUGAGAAGGCGUGAUGGUGUUCUUAUGUGCAUUCUGCAGAAAUAUCAAGCUAGAGAUGUAUGGUUCGAGCUCAGCGUUAAAGCGAGUGUAGAACUCGUCUCAAAGCUGUGGGUGGAUUUCCCCUCAUAAGAUGUGAGCUUUGCUCUAUAACUAUCAUGCCUGGUUUGAACAUUUGAAUCCAAACAAGCCUCAUCUCUUUAUUAGCUUUUACUUUCUUAAUUACUCUUCCUGUGCUGAUCAUGCCUGCUUUUGAGGAAUUAGGAGUACCACUGUUCAUAAUUGAGUUGCAAGUACAAAUCACAUUCAUUUGUUGUUCUUUUGCACAGAUGGCAUCGAUCACAAUGAUUUUUCCUCCUGUUUUAUUUUUUAUUUUUUA